UCGUGAUCCACCCUCCUCGGCCUCCCAAAGUUCUGGGAUUACAGGCCUGAGCCACCACGCCCGGCCUUGAUAAAUUAUUUUGCUUUCUUUCCCCACUGAGAACUAGGUUUUUUGUUUGUUUCUUGUGUUCUUUUUACUUCCUUCCUCCUCCAGUCUUUUUUUUUUUGGAGAUGGAGUUUUGUGCUUAUUGCCCAGGCUGGAGUGCAAUGGUGUGAUCUCAGCUCACUGCAACCUCUGCCUCCUGGGUUCAAGCCAUUCUCCCAACUCAGCCUCCCAAGUAGCUGGUAUUAUAGGCAUGCGCCACCACAUCCGGCUAAUUUUUAUAUUUUUAGUAGAGACAGGGUUCCACCAUGCUGGCCAGGCUGGUUUUGAACUCCUGACCUCAAGUGAUCUGCCCACCUCCGCCUUCCCAAAGUGUUGGGAUUACAGGCGUGAGCCACCGCACCUGGCCCAGAGUGAUCUUUUAAAAUUGAAUGUUACUCUGCUGCUUAAAGCCUUCCAAUUACAUCUUACCACUUAAAAUAAUAUCCAGACUCCUUCACCAUGAGUAACAAAUCUAGUGACCUUAGAUCCCAGUUUAAAUUGCCUUGAUUCAUUUUCAAAACUGCCCUAUCUGCCUAAAAGCCUUACCUCUGCAAUUUCACAUCUUGUUAUAUGCAUUUUUUUUUUUUUCUGAGAUGGAGCUUCAUUCUUGUUACCCAGGAUGGAGUGCAAUGGUGUGAUCUCAGCUCACUGCAACCUCUGCCUCCCGGGUUCAAGCGAUUCUCUUGGCUUAGUCUCCCAAGUAGCUGAGACUACAGGCGUAGGCCACCACGCGCGGCUAGUUUUUGUACUUUUAGUAGAGAUCGGGUUUCGCCAUGUUGACUAGGCUGGUCUUGAACUGGCCUCACGUGAUCUGCCCGCCUCGGCCUCCCAACGUUCUGGGAUUACAGGCGUGAGCCACCACAACUGGCCCUAAGUGAUGUUUAUUUAAAGUGUCAGUCUGGGACCUAUCAGAAGACAAAAAUCACACUUUUUUUUUUUUUUUUUUUUUUUUUUUUACAGGGAAAGAAUAAUACAAAGAAUAUGAAGCUAUAGGCUGUGUGCGGUGGCUCAUGCGUGUAAUCUCAGCACUUUGGGAGGCUGAGGUGGGUGGAUGACCUGAAGUCAGGAGUUCGAGACCAGUCUGGCCAACAUGCUGAAACCCGGUCUCUCCUAAAAAUACAAAGAAAAAUUAUCUGGGCUUGGUGGCAGGCACCUGUAAUCCCAGCUGAGGCAGGAGAAUCGCUUGACCUGGGGAGGCGGAGAUGGCAGUGAACCAAGAUCGUACCAGGGCACUCCAGCCUGGGCAAUAAGAACAAAACUCCUUUAAAAAAAAAAAAGGUAUAAGACAAAAUGCAGUUUCCUAGAGCUGAAGGAGAUUAUCCAAGAAAGGACAUACUUGGAAGGAAGGCCACUGCCAUCUCCUCAAAACUGAGGUGCACACCUUACUGGAGAAUGUAGAGUUGCAGUCUACUGGAGAGCAGAGAAGUCUGGUGGUUUGCCUGGGUCAGUGCUGGUGUGCAGUCCCUGGGCAAGCAGGGAACACACAGCUGGUGACCAGACAUGCAGAUGUGCAGACGGAGUCGAGGCACCAGAGAGGUAGGAGGCCUGGAGUGUGGCAUCCCUGUGGAAAGUGACCACCAGGCGAGGGUGUGGCUGGGGGGGCAGGUCACCACCAAAUUUCCUCUCAUCUAUACUGCUGACCUAUGGUGCAGCCACUGGAACCAGCAAGAGAAUCCCCCUUCAUCCUGCUGUAUCCUUCCAGCACCAUCUACUGAGAAAGCAUUGUUCUUAGUACUCUAAAAAGGAAAUGCUUAAAGGAAUUCCAUCCAUUUAAAAGCAGGUAUUGAGGGAUGAAUUCGGAGCUGACAGACAAUAAAUUGACAACUAGCACAAUAAGUGUUAGAUGGCUGGGUAGAUAAUAGUGAGAUUUGGUUGAGGGGAUUUCCCCCUUCCACACCUCCCAAAGCCACCUGGGCUUUUAGAGAAAAUUCAGGUUAAAACUUGUCCCCCACUCCGACGCCCUCCUUUUUUUUUUUUUUGGAAUCAAAUGUUUGUUGCAGAAACUUGGCCAAGGUUCCCAGUGGCCCCAGAUAGUUGAGGUUGGGCUAGGGGGUCGCCUGCUCAGGGCCGGGCAAGUGAGACAAGGAAAAGGUGGAGGGAGCGCCUCCCGGCCUGCAGUGUCAGAGCUGCGAGAUUGUUUCAGCCAAGCUGCAGGUGAGGCUUAUGCGCCCGCUCCGGCUCCGGUUUCGGCUCCGGCUCCGCGCUGCGGGCCUUCAUCGCGCCGUCCUCUCUCAUCAUGAGCUGUAGAUACCCAAAGAAUGGCACCGAUGAAUCAUCUAGUAAAAAUCUGUCUUUUUGAUCGGGGGCCUUCGCUGCACUGGCGUGGCUGAAACUGCGGUUCUCACCAACGUCCACCCUGUUCCUCCCGUUCGCCGCCCUGCCCCCAGCGAGCACCGAGCCUGCCAGCCCCAGACUUGGCGCUGCGGCCGCGACCACCCACCUCCCCACAGUCCAGGCGCCGCAUAAGGCCCGGACUGGCGCACGAAGGCGGGGGCGGGGGGUUGCGGAAGUGGGGCGCAAAACUGGAGACCCUGCAAAAAGGCUGGGCCUGGGCCGCGCUGGCUCCCCCGCGAGUCCUCUUCACUGUGCAGUCGUGGGCAGCUGCAGAACCCUGUCAUUCUUAGUUAGCUCAUCAUCACUAAUAUUCUUUGCUAUGACCCAGGAUAUACCUGGAACCCAGCGACCUUGACCUGCCUUCCAAUGCAGUUGGGUCAACACUUCCCAGGACUUACGAGAAGUAAUCAUAGGAGGUGCUUCCAAACUCAGAGCUGCCCAGUAACAUCCACAAACCCAGAGAAUGGAGAAGAGACAGCUGUUACUGACAUAGAAAGAAGGAACUUGGCCUUUCUUUCAAGGAUAAAUUUCUUUCUUACCAGUCUCUGUGUGAGGUAUCUCAGCAGAAGACAUUUGCAAGGAU